AUGAACAGGGAGAACCUGGUGAUCUGGCCGUCCCACGCUCGGUUGCUUGGUAUCUCGGGGAAGGGUGCGGGACUGCAAUGGCUUCACGCACAACAGGAGCUUGUCGUCAGCAAGAAAACAGACGCGACCUCGGUGACGAUCCAUCAGACUCCGGCUUUCUCCGGAACUGCCGGCCGCAACGUGACGCUGCGUUGUACAGUCGAGGGUAGCACCAGUGCCAGCAAUUGGUUGUACUGGUACCGACAAUACCCGGGAAAGGGUCCGGAGUACAUGUUUUACUCGAGCACAGCUAAUUCCGUGCACCCAAAGGAAUUGGUCGGCGGUUUUACGGCGGAGAGACCGCAGACCGACAAGUUCUUCCUGACGUCUAACAAACUGGAGGCGAGUUCGUCGGCCGUGUAUUUCUGCGGCUGGAGUGAUCACGGCGGCUCAGAGUGA